UGAGGAUUUCUUUUGACCAAACCAGAGUUGCUGAUUGUUGGAACAGUGGAAAGACUAACACCUUGUCCUAACUGAAUGCCAGCAUCCGACUAUCGUGUCGCAUCGCAAUCAACCACUGUUGACACCUGGUCCAUGUUGCAGCGCUUUCAACAGGAAUAAAUAGAAACAGGACGUCUGACAAAAGUUCAGUUCAAAACGGCGCAUUGCUGCUAGCGGCCAGUUAGGACAUUCUAAUAGAAAAUUGCAAUUGAACUGAUUUUGUCACUGACACUCGCUUGAGUCGCAUGCAGUUAGGACAUGGUGUAACAGAGACAGUUUUGGCUCAACACAAUGUCGGACUGCAACGCCUCAAGGAGCAUGAUGGACAAGAGCAAAGGAAGCACAAGAGCGAAUACUCUGCAAGUGUGAAGUCAGCAUGAAUUCUCACCUUCCCAAGGAACUCUGGUGCUGCUCCAUGGGUUUAUCUGGUCCAUCAAAGGUGAACCCUGGGCCUCUAUAUGAUGAAGACCUUAGUAGGAAAGAAUCAAGG